UACGUAGGGUCCAAGCGUUGUCCGGAUUUAUUGGGCGUAAAGAGCUCGUAGGCGGUUCGGUAAGUCGGAUGUGAAAACUCAGGGCUCAACCCGGAGACGCCAUCCGAUACUGCUGUGACUUGAGUCUGGUAGGGGAACACGGAAUACCUGGUGUAGCGGUGAAAUGCGCAGAUAUCAGGUGGAACACCGAUGGCGAAGGCAGCUCGCUGGAACGGUACUGACGCUGAGGCGCGAAAGCGUGGGGAGCAAACAGG
rnacentral:rRNA from 1 species